rnacentral:rRNA from 1 species
UACGGGGGGGGCAAGCGUUGUUCGGAAUUACUGGGCGUAAAGAGCUCGUAGGCGGCUGUUCAAGUCGAACGUGAAAACUCGGAGCUCAACUCCGAGCCUGCGUUCGAUACUGGACGGCUAGAGUCUGGUAGGGGGAUCUGGAAUUCCUGGUGUAGCGGUGGAAUGCGCAGAUAUCGUAAGGAAGACCAGUGGCGAAGGCGGGUCUCUGGACAGUUCCUGACGCUGAGGCACGAAGGUCAGGGGAGCAAACGGG